GCCAGGCGUGGUGGUGGUGCCUGUAAUCCCAGCUGCUCAGGAGGCUGAGGCAGGAGAAUCACCUGAACCCGGCGGGUGGAGGUUGCAGUGAGCGGAGAUCGAGCCACUUCACUCCAACCUGGGCGAAAGAGUGAAACUCUGUUUCAAAAAAAAAAAAAAGAUUAUGACACAGUUUGACAGAUUGAGACACAGUUUCACUCUGUCACCCAGGCUGGAGUGCAGUGGCACGAUCUCAGCUCACUGCAACCUCUGCCUCCCGGGUUCAAGUGAUUGUCCUGCCUCAG
rnacentral:SRP_RNA from 1 species